rnacentral:rRNA from 1 species
UACGAAGGGUGCGAGCGUUGUCCGGAAUUAUUGGGCGUAAAGAGCUUGUAGGCGGUCUGUCGCGUCUGCUGUGAAAAUCCGGGGCUCAACCCCGGACUUGCAGUGGGUACGGGCAGACUAGAGUGUGGUAGGGGAGACUGGAAUUCCUGGUGUAGCGGUGAAAUGCGCAGAUAUCAGGAGGAACACCGAUGGCGAAGGCAGGUCUCUGGGCCAUAACUGACGCUGAGAAGCGAAAGCAUGGGGAGCGAACAGG